rnacentral:rRNA from 1 species
ACCUGCGGAGGGAUCAUUACCGAGUUUACAACUCCCAAACCCCUGUGAACAUACCAAUUGUUGCCUCGGCGGAUCAGCCCGCUCCCGGUAAAACGGGACGGCCCGCCAGAGGACCCCUAAACUCUGUUUCUAUAUGUAACUUCUGAGUAAAACCAUAAAUAAAUCAAAACUUUCAACAACGGAUCUCUUGGUUCUGGCAUCGAUGAAGAACGCAGCAAAAUGCGAUAAGUAAUGUGAAUUGCAGAAUUCAGUGAAUCAUCGAAUCUUUGAACGCACAUUGCGCCCGCCAGUAUUCUGGCGGGCAUGCCUGUUCGAGCGUCAUUUCAACCCUCAAGCCCCCGGGUUUGGUGUUGGGGAUCGGCGAGCCUCACGGCAAGCCGGCCCCGAAAUACAGUGGCGGUCUCGCUGCAGCUUCCAUUGCGUAGUAGUAAAACCCUCGCAACUGGUACGCGGCGCGGCCAAGCCGUUAAACCCCCAACUUCUGAAUGUUGACCUCGGAUCAGGUAGGAAUACCCGCUGAACUUAAGCAUAUCAA